ACAUUUAUGAUACUUUUGCUCAUCCUUUGAUAUAUGCACAUGACCUUAAAGAGAUUCGAAGUUGUCUUCAUCAAAGCAUAAUAUUGGAAAAGCUCGUCUUCACAUGUUCUACUUCAAAAUAGAGGAAGCGAGAGGAUACAUUUUGUACCUUUUAUAAAUAUUUUAUCAGUUGAGGUUCCUUGGCCUAUUAUUGUCCCAAGACUUUAUUGGAGGCCAACUGGGAAUUACUUUU
rnacentral:lncRNA from 1 species